GGAAGGAUCAUUAAUGAAUGUGUCUCCGGACAUGAUUUCUUUAAACACUUGUGAACUUAUAUGUGUUUGCUUUGGUUAGUCAUUAUUGACUGGCCAAAAGAUUUUUACAAACACCUUUUAUCAAGAAAUUUAUUUUGAAACUGAAUUAUAUUAAUUAUUCAAAACUUUCAACAACGGAUCUCUUGGUUCUGGCAUCGAUGAAGAACGCAGCGAAAUGCGAUAAGUAAUGUGAAUUGCAGAAUUCAGUGAAUCAUCGAAUCUUUGAACGCACAUUGCGCCCCUUGGUAUUCCGAGGGGCAUGCCUGUUCGAGCGUCAUUACAACCCUCAAGCACUGCUUGGUAUUGGGCUCCGCUGGCUCCAGCGGGCCUUAAAAUCAGUGGCGGCGCCGUUUGGGCUCUGAGCGUAGUAAAUAUCCUCGCUAUAGAGACCAGGCGGUUCUUGUCAUCAACCCC
rnacentral:misc_RNA from 1 species